rnacentral:rRNA from 1 species
AGAGCGAACGCUGGCGGCAGGCUUAACACAUGCAAGUCGAGCGGGCGUAGCAAUACGUCAGCGGCAAACGGGUGAGUAACGCGUGGGAACAUACCUUUUGGUUCGGAACAACACAGGGAAACUUGUGCUAAUACCGGAUAAGCCCUUACGGGGAAAGAUUUAUCGCCGAAAGAUUGGCCCGCGUCUGAUUAGCUAGUUGGUGAGGUAACGGCUCACCAAGGCGACGAUCAGUAGCUGGUCUGAGAGGAUGAUCAGCCACAUUGGGACUGAGACACGGCCCAAACUCCUACGGGAGGCAGCAGUGGGGAAUAUUGGACAAUGGGCGCAAGCCUGAUCCAGCCAUGCCGCGUGAGUGAUGAAGGCCCUAGGGUUGUAAAGCUCUUUUGUGCGGGAAGAUAAUGACGGUACCGCAAGAAUAAGCCCGGCUAACUCGUGCCAGCAGCCGC